GGGCCGUUGGAGACCACAACGUUGAUAGGCGGGGUGUGUAAGUGCAGCGAUGCAUUGAGCUAACCCGUACUAAUUACCCGUGAGGCUUAACCAU
rnacentral:rRNA from 1 species